rnacentral:rRNA from 1 species
UCGAGGGGUACAGUAGCAAUACUGGAGACCGGCGCACGGGUGCGUAACGCGUAUGCAAUCUACCUUUUACAGAGGGAUAGCCCAGAGAAAUUUGGAUUAAUACCUCAUAGUAUAUUUGAAUGGCAUCAUUUGAUUAUUAAAGUUCCAACGGUAAAAGAUGAGCAUGCGUCCCAUUAGCUAGAUGGUAAGGUAACGGCUUACCAUGGCAACGAUGGGUAGGGGUCCUGAGAGGGAGAUCCCCCACACUGGUACUGAGACACGGACCAGACUCCUACGGGAGGCAGCAGUGAGGAAUAUUGGACAAUGGGCGCAAGCCUGAUCCAGCCAUGCCGCGUGCAGGAAGACGCAUCUAUGGUGUGUAAACUGCUUUUGUACGGGAAGAAACACUCCUACGUGUAGGGGCUUGACGGUACCGUAAGAAUAAGGAUCGGCUAACUCCGUGCCAGCAGCCGCGGUAAUACGGAGGAUCCAAGCGUUAUCCGGAAUCAUUGGGUUUAAAGGGUCCGUAGGCGGUUUGAUAAGUCAGUGGUGAAAGCCCAUCGCUCAACGAUGGAACGGCCAUUGAUACUGUCAGACUUGAAUUAUUGGGAAGUAACUAGAAUAUGUAAUGUAGCGGUGAAAUGCUUAGAUAUUACAUGGAAUACCAAUUGCGAAGGCAGGUUACUACCAGUACAUUGACGCUGAU